UUUGGUGGUCAUAGCGCGAGCAAAACACCCGGCUCCAUUCCGAACCCGGCCGUUAAGUGCCGUCGCGCCGAUGGUACUGCGUCUCAAGACGUGGGAGAGUAGGUCGCCGCCAAAC
rnacentral:rRNA from 1 species